UACAUGGGGUGCAAACGUUGCUCGGAAUUAUUGGGCGUAAAGCGCGCGUAGGCGGUUACUCAAGUCGGAUGUGAAAGCCCUCGGCUUAACUGAGGAAGUGCACCCGAAACUGAGUAGCUAGAGUACUAAAGAGGGUCGCGGAAUUCCCGGUGUAGAGGUGAAAUUCGUAGAUAUCGGGAGGAACACCGGUGGCGAAGGCGGCAUUCUGGACCGAUAUUGACGCUGAGGAGCGAAAGCCAGGGGAGCAAACGGG
rnacentral:rRNA from 1 species